rnacentral:rRNA from 1 species
UACGUAUGGUGCAAGCGUUAUCCGGAUUUACUGGGUGUAAAGGGAGCGUAGGCGGCGCGUUAAGUCUGAUGUGAAAACCCGAGGCUCAACCACGGGAGUGCAUUGGAAACUGGCGGGCUGGAGUGCCGGAGAGGUAAGCGGAAUUCCUAGUGUAGCGGUGAAAUGCGUAGAUAUUAGGAGGAACACCAGUGGCGAAGGCGGCUUACUGGACGGCAACUGACGCUGAGGCUCGAAAGCGUGGGUAGCAAACAGG